rnacentral:rRNA from 1 species
AUUUGAUCUCAAAUCAGGUAAGGCUACCCGCUGAAUUUAAGCAUAUUAAUAAGCGGAGGAAAAGAAAAUAACAAUGAUUCCCCUAGUAACGGCGAGUGAAGCGGGAAAAGCUCAAGGUGUUAAUCUCCAGGCCCCCUUUGUUUGGCCUGGCGACAUGUAACCUAUGGAUUGCAGAUUUCGCCAGCAGUGUUCCGACGCAGUCAAAGCCAGUUGAAUCUGGCGCCAUUGAGGGUGAAAGCCCCGUUGAUGGCUGGGUGCGGGGGCUGCUAUUGUGCGCUGCUUUUCGCGAGUCGGGUUGUUUGGGAAUGCAGCCCUAAUUGGGAGGUAAAUUUCUCCUAAAGCUAAAUAUUAGCAAGAGACCGAUAGCAUACAAGUACCGUAAGGGAAAGGUGAAAAGCACUCUGAAGAGAGAGUGAAAAGUACGUGAAACUGUUGGUAGGGAAACGUUUGCACAGCACACUAACUGCAGCCGGAAGCCCGCAAGGGUGGAGGGCUGUGCGUUGCCUCGCAGCAAUUCCCCCCGUUGGAGAAAACCGGAGCGAAGGUAGGGAGUUUCUGUAGGCUCUUGUAGCACUGCAGGGCUUCUGUUURUAGCGCACCGGCAAUACAGCGGGGUUUUGGGGAUUGAGGCUUGCUAAGCAGGAGGCUCGUUGUGGUCAAGUCCACUUCGCAGUCACCGGCCCCCUCCUAUCCCCCAUGGACGAACCGCAGGCUAGACAUUUCUAUGACUGCCAGCGGGCUAACAGCGGCCUGGAGUACACGGAUUGGGAGGUUAGGGACAGUUGCUUAAAGGAUGCGGGGAAGUGUUGAACAAACGACCCGUCUUGAAACACGGACCAAGGAGUCUAACACUAGUGCGAGUCGUUGGGAAAAGUCUUUAGAUAAUAGACCCAUGGGCGCAAUGAAAGUGAGGAGUGUGUCAUAGCACUUGUUGGUACGAAUUCCAUUAAGGAACGCAGUACCCUCCGACUAGAAAAAGUUUACUUUGACUGGUUUGAGAGCGAGCACUUGUGUUAGGACCCGAAAGAUGGUGAACUAUACUUGAGUAGGGUGAAGCCAGGGGAAACCCUGGUGGAGGCUCGUAGCGAUUCUGACGUGCAAAUCGAUCGUAAAACUUGAGUAUA